rnacentral:rRNA from 1 species
UACGUAGGGGGCAAGCGUUGCUCGGAAUCACUGGGCAUAAAGGGCGCGUAGGCGGCUUUCUAAGUCAGGGGUGAAAUCCGGCAGCUCAACUGUCGCAGUGCCUUUGAUACUGGAGAGCUCGAGGGAGGUAGGGGUCUGUGGAACUUCCGGUGGAGCGGUGAAAUGCGUUGAUAUCGGAAGGAACGCCGGUGGCGAAAGCGACGGACUGGAUCUCUUCUGACGCUGAGGCGCGAAAGCCAGGGGAGCAAACGGG